rnacentral:snoRNA from 1 species
GCACUGCCUUUGAGUCCCCGCUGCGCCUGCGUGUGUCACGGUGGGGGGGGGGGGGGGGGGGUGUCAGGCUGCAGGGCCAGAGCAGUUGCUUGCGCACAACUGGGGCCUACGGCUCUUUGCCCACGACCCUUUUAACCACGAGUGACACGG